AAGUCGUAACAAGGUCUCCGUAGGUGAACCUGCGGAGGGAUCAUUACAGAGUACGGGGGCUUGCCCCCGUUGAACUCACCACCCUUUGCUGUGACCGUGACCAUCUGUCUGUCGCCUCGGGGGACCCCGACGUUCGCGUCGGCCCCCCGGCGUGCCAACCAACCUCUGCAUCAUAGUCGUCAGAGUCGUAUUGCGAAAUAAAGCAAAA
rnacentral:misc_RNA from 1 species